GCCCGCUCAGAAACUUAAAGGAAGUUGACGGGGCCCGGCACAAGCGGUGGAGUAUGUGGUUUAAUUCGAUGCAACGCGAAGAACCUUACCUGGUCUUGACAUCCCGGAGACCCUUAGGAACUAGGGGUGCUUCCAUCUGGAAGAAUCUGGAGACAGGUGCUGCAUGGCUGUCGUCAGCUCGUGUCGUGAGAUGUUGGGUUAAGUCCCGCAACGAGCGCAACCCUUGCCUUUAGUUGCCAGCAGUUCGGCUGGGCACUCUAAAGGGACUGCCGGUGUUAAACCGGAGGAAGGUGGGGAUGACGUCAAGUCCUCAUGGCCUUUAUGACCAGGGCUACACACGUACUACAAUGGCCGAUACAAAGGGCAGCGACACUGCGAGGUGAAGCCAAUCCCGUAAAAUCGGUCUCAGUCCGGAUUGGAGUCUGCAACUCGACUCCAUGAAGUUGGAAUCGCUAGUAAUCGUGGAUCAGCAUGCCACGGUGAAUACGUUCCCGGGCCUUU
rnacentral:rRNA from 1 species